UACAGAGGUCUCAAGCGUUGUUCGGAUUCAUUGGGCGUAAAGGGUGCGUAGGCGGCGCGGUAAGUCGGGUGUGAAAUCUUGGAGCUUAACUCCGAAACUGCAUUCGAUACUGCCGUGCUUGAGGACUGGAGAGGAGACUGGAAUUUACGGUGUAGCUGGUGAAAUGCGUAGAUAUCGUAAGGAAGACCAGUGGCGAAGGCGGGUCUCUGGACAGUUCCUGACGCUGAGGCAUGAAGGCCAGGGGAGCAAACGGG
rnacentral:rRNA from 1 species